rnacentral:rRNA from 1 species
AGCAGCCGCGGUAAUUCCAGCUCCAAUAGCGUAUAUUAAAGUUGCUGCAGUUAAAAAGCUCGUAGUUGAAUUUCGGGACCGAUAUAUCGGUCGUGCCUCGGUACGUACUGGUAUUUUCGGUUUCUCCCUUCUGAUGAACCUUGAUGUCAUUAAUUUGGUGUCUUGGGGGAAUCAGGGCUGUUACUUUGAAAAAAUUUAGAGUGUUUAAAGCAGGCUCACGCUUGAAUACAUUAGCAUGGAAUAAUGAAAUAGGACGUUUGAUUCUAUUUUGUUGGUUUCUAGGAUCGACGUAAUGAUUAAUAGGGAUAGUUGGGGGCAUUAGUAUUCAAUUGUCAGAGGUGAAAUUCUUGGAUUUGAUUGAAGACUAACUACUGCGAAAGCAUUUUGCCAAGGAUGCUUCCAUUAAUCAAGAACGAAAUGUUAGGGGAUCGAAGACGAUCAGAUACCGUCGUAGUCUUAACCAUAAACUAUGCCGACUAGGGAUCGGA